rnacentral:rRNA from 1 species
CCUACGGGGGGCUGCAGUAGGGAAUAUUGGACAAUGGGCGCAAGCCUGAUCCAGCCAUGCCGCGUGAGUGAAGAAGGCCUUCGGGUUGUAAAGCUCUUUUGUCCGGAAAGAAAAGCAUCCAGUUAAUACCUGGGUGUCCUGACGGUACCGGAAGAAUAAGCACCGGCUAACUUCGUGCCAGCAGCCGCGGUAAUACGAAGGGUGCAAGCGUUACUCGGAAUUACUGGGCGUAAAGCGUGCGUAGGUGGUUUGUUAAGUCUGAUGUGAAAGCCCUGGGCUCAACCUGGGAAUGGCAUUGGAUACUGGCAGGCUAGAGUGCGGUAGAGGGUAGUGGAAUUCCCGGUGUAGCAGUGAAAUGCGUAGAUAUCAGGAGGAACAUCGGUGGCGUAAGCGCUUUACUGGGCCGUAAUUGACACUGAGGAACGAAAGCCAGGGUAGCAAAUGGGAUUAGAUACCCUAGUAGUCACUA